rnacentral:rRNA from 1 species
UACGGGGGAGCAAGCGUUGUUCGGAUUUACUGGCGUAAAGGGCGCGUAGGCGGUCAGCAUAAGUCAGUUGUGAAAUCUCCGGGCUUAACUCGGAAAGUCAACUGAUACUGUGCGACUAGAGUGCAAGAAGGGGCAACGUGGAAUUCUCGGUGUAGCGGUGAAAAUGCGUAGAUAUCGAGAGGAACACCUGCGGCGAAGGCGGCUCACUGGUCCGGUACUGACGCUGGAGGUGACGAAAGCGUGGGGAGCAAAACAGG